CCUACGGGGCGCAGCAGUGGGGAAUAUUGCACAAUGGGGGAAACCCUGAUGCAGCGACGCCGCGUGAGUGAAGAAGUAUUUCGGUAUGUAAAGCUCUGUCAGCGGGGAAGAAAAUGACGGUACCUGACCAAGAAGCCCCGGCUAACUACGUGCCAGCAGCCGCGGUAAUACGUAGGGGGCAAGCGUUAUCCGGAUUUACUGGGUGUAAAGGGAGCGCAGGCGGCUUUGCAAGUCUGAUGUGAAAGGCCAGGGCUCAACCCUGGGACUGCAUUGGAAACUGUAAAGCUAGAGUGCCGGAGAGGUAA
rnacentral:rRNA from 1 species